UAAGACAGAGGUGCCAAGCGUUAGGCGGAAUCACUGGGCUUAAAGCGUGUGUAGGUGGAUUUGUAAGUACCUUGUGAAAUCCCACGGCUCAACCGUGGAACUGCUCGGUAUACUGCGAAUCUUGAGCCACUUAGGGGCUACCGGAACAAAUGGUGGAGCGGUGAAAUGCGUAGAUAUCAUUUGGAACGCCAAUGGUGAAAACAGGUAGCUGGGAGUGUGCUGACACUGAGACACGAAAGCCAGGGGAGCGAACGGGAUUAGAUACCCCGGUAGUCCUGGCCGUAAACGAUGUCCACUAGAUCGUAGGAGCUCUGACGCUUUUAUGGUCGAAGCAAAAGUGCUAAGUGGACCGCCUGGGAAGUACGGUCGCAAGGCUA
rnacentral:rRNA from 1 species